CAGCCGCCGCGGUAAUACGAAGGGGGCUAGCGUUGUUCGGAUUUACUGGGCGUAAAGCGUGCGUAGGCGGCUUCUUAAGUCGGAUGUGAAAUCCCUGAGCUUAACUUAGGAAUUGCAUUCGAUACUGGGAAGCUAGAGUAUGGGAGAGGAUGGUAGAAUUCCAGGUGUAGCGGUGAAAUGCGUAGAGAUCUGGAGGAAUACCGAUGGCGAAGGCAGCCAUCUGGCCUAAUACUGACGCUGAGGUACGAAAGCAUGGGGAGCAAACAGGAUUAGAUACCCGCGUAGUCCCUGUCUCUUAUAC
rnacentral:rRNA from 1 species